UACGUAGGAUGCAAGCGUUGUCCGGAAUCAUUGGGCGUAAAGCGACCGUAGGCGGUUUCUUAAGUCUGUGCUUAAAGACCGGGGCUCAACCCCGGGAGUGGCAUGGAUACUGGGAGACUGGAGGAUGUCAGAGGAAAGUGGAAUUCCUAGUGUAGCGGUGAAAUGCGUAGAUAUUAGGAGGAACACCAGUGGCGAAAGCGGUUCUCUGGGCCUUACCUGACGCUGAGGAGCGAAAGCAUGGGGAGCAAACAGG
rnacentral:rRNA from 1 species